rnacentral:lncRNA from 1 species
AACCAAAAUUCAUAGAAAUUUUAAUACUAAAACUAAAACUGUAUUGCAAGCAUUAAAUUACAUAUUAAUAUUCGACAAGCAACAUAAAUGUUAGUAUUCGAUUUCACAAUAUCGAAACCAAAUAAAAAAAUUAAGUGUCAAAGACCAAAUCAAUUUCAAAAUAUCGAAUCCAAAUCAUAAAAAUCAAGUGUCAAAGUCUAACUAGGUAGGCGGGUUACUUCAUUGGGUGAGUUAUACAACUAACGUCGUUAUACAUCUUGGCAGUUUCUUGUUUUUCGGCCAAAACUUGUUCACAUUCCGCCUUAAUCUCUUCCUUUAUCUCCUUACACAUGCGAUCAACAACAACCUACAAAGCAACAAUAAUUAAGUUUAUACCUAAUUAAACAUCAAGCCAUAUCAUGGAAUUAAGAGCAACAUGCUUUCAACUUGAAAAAAAAAGUAUAUAAAUAAUUAACAAUAACAACAUACUUUUAACUUGAAAAGACUAUAGACUAUUAAAAGCAACAAUCAACAUAUAAUUAUAAUAAACAAUCAAAUUUUAAACUAAAUUAUUAAUUAUUAGUUAACUAAUAAUACCUACCAUGUUUUAGAACCAACACCCUGUUGAUGAAAUCCUUCCUCAAAAAUAACAAGCAUGUUGGUUUUCCUGGAUCACUGAUUGUGUGUCUAUAUCUAUUUAAUUGCUUCUGUACUAAAGAAAGAAGCUGUUGUAAGACAAAAUUAUUUUAGAUUGUUGUAAAAGAAAUAUACAAAGAAGACAAAUGGAAGAUGUCAUGGCAACUCAAUAUUUCACAAUAAUUUAAGCAGUAAUGCAAAAUCAUGUAUGAAUUAGUCACCCUCAGUGUAGGGUGCGUUGAACUUUAACAUUGUUGUAUGAUGUUAUUUGUAUUUUUUUUUACUGAGUUUGGGCCUUGGUAUAUUGAAGGCGUCAGUAAAUAUGAUGUUAAUCGUAUUGAUAGUGUCAUGUCCAUGUUAAAUUCAUUAAGUUAAAAAAACAUAUUUAUGUGUUAACAGUAAAUCCAUUCUUCUCACCUGUUAAAAGAAGGCUAUUACUAGUAUAUUUAUCAAACAAUUGAUAGUACCUGACUUGUUUCCAUAAGUAAUGAUCAUCCAACAUGUAUUGUCAUUCAAGGCUUUUGAAAAAUCUCAUCCCUCUGACAUGACAUAUUUACAACAGAAGGUUACAUCUUCUUUGUAUAAUCAGAUGGGGCCUUGAAGAAUUGACAGUACAUGUAAGUUUUGAAACCAAGCCCAUGUAGCAAAAGUUCUUGGUAUAAUUAUUGUUGUAUCAGGUAAUUUGUUUGGAUAAAAAAGGUUUCACCAACGGACUAAGAAUUCAGGAUACUACUCAACCAAUAAUGAUGACAAAUGAAUCUUAUAAUUAUGUGUAAGAGCAAUAAUAAAUAGUUAUGCACUUUUGGUUGAAUAUAAUUAGGAAAAGAAUUGACUACUUAUCUCCUAUGAUUAUUGAUAUUCACUCAAACACAAUUCCUUCAAGAAGAAUAUGAUGUUAAACUUUAGUAAAUUUAAAACAUAUAUUAAAUUGAAAUAAAAGGUCGGCUGACAGAUGUAAUCUGAAAGUCCGAAAUUAGGUCUCUAUUGGAAUGAAACUUAGAAGUAUCAAUUUCUACCCAUGUUUGAACAAAUAUAGAAAUUUCACAAAACCAAAAACUAGAAAUCGGAUGACAAACUCACAUAAAUAUCAUUGAACUUAUCGAGAUCUUCAUUGAGAAUGUUGACAAAUCAAUGUUGGAUUUCCACUAAGUGAUGCAUAAGAGGUGGUAGGUUUCGGUCGGAGUUAACUCCGGUAGGGCUUCGAUUGGGAGUUCGUUGAUGGUGGUUGUCGGUGUCAUCGGCGAUAAUAGAGGCCAGGAUGGAUGGAAUUGACGAUGAAAGGGUAGGGGGCGCUAGGAAGCCAAUGUUGGGGGGUGGGUUUCCAAAUAAAAUUAGGACAAAAAUAUAUCGAUUUGGGAAGGAGACG